rnacentral:rRNA from 1 species
UACGUAGGGUGCGAGCGUUGUCCGGAAUUAUUGGGCGUAAAGAGCUCGUAGGCGGUGUGUCGCGUCGGCCGUGAAAACCUGCAGCUUAACUGUGGGCUUGCGGUCGAUACGGGCAUCACUGGAGUUCGGCAGGGGAGACUGGAAUUCCUGGUGUAGCGGUGAAAUGCGCAGAUAUCAGGAGGAACACCGGUGGCGAAGGCGCCUAUCUGGCCCGAUACUGACGCUGAGGCGCGAAAGCUAGGGGAGCAAACGGG